rnacentral:rRNA from 1 species
ACUCAAAGGAAUUGACGGGGACCCGCACAAGCGGUGGAUGAUGUGGAUUAAUUCGAUGCAACGCGAAAAACCUUACCUACCCUUGACAUGUCAGGAAUCCCGAAGAGAUUUGGGAGUGCUCGAAAGAGAGCCUGAACACAGGUGCUGCAUGGCUGUCGUCAGCUCGUGUCGUGAGAUGUUGGGUUAAGUCCCGCAACGAGCGCAACCCUUGUCAUUAGUUGCUACGCAAGAGCACUCUAAUGAGACUGCCGGUGACAAACCGGAGGAAGGUGGGGAUGACGUCAAGUCCUCAUGGCCCUUAUGGGUAGGGCUUCACACGUCAUACAAUGGUGCAUACAAAGGGCUGCCAACCCGUGAGGGGGAGCCAAUCCUCUAAAGUGCAUCGUAGUCCGGAUUGGAGUCUGCAACUCGACUCCAUGAAGUUGGAAUCGCUAGUAAUCGCGGAUCAGCAUGUCGCGGUGAAUACGUUCCCGGGUCUUGUACACACCGCCCGU